rnacentral:sRNA from 2 species
GCCUAGCCCCGGUAGAAACGGCAUCCUUUUUUUUCGCUUUUUUGCGAAAAAAAAGAUAUAGUGGAUGACGGGAAUGGUG